GGGCUUGUGUUAAUAGCCUCA
rnacentral:siRNA from 1 species